GACGAACCGUCCAAACGUUAUUCGGAAUCACUGGGCUUAAAGGGUGCGUAGGCGGCCCGGCAAGUUGUGUGUGAAAGCCCUCGGCUCAACCGAGGAAUAGCGCGCAAAACUACCGGGCUCGAGGGAGACAGAGGUAAGCGGAACUUAGGGUGGAGCGGUGAAAUGCGUUGAUAUCCUAAGGAACACCAGGAGCGAAAGCGGCUUACUGGGUCUCUUCUGACGCUGAGGCACGAAAGCUAGGGGAGCGAACGGG
rnacentral:rRNA from 1 species